rnacentral:rRNA from 1 species
CCCUUAGAUGUUCUGGGCCGCACGCGCGCUACAAUGGCAGACUCAGCGAGUUACCUCUGUCGAAAGGCACAGGGAAUCUUUACAGUAACUGCCGUGAUGGGGAUAGACCCUUGUAAUUUUUGGUCUUCAACGAGGAAUUCCUAGUAAACGCAAGUCAUUAACUUGCAUUGAUUACGUCCCUGCCCUUUGUACACACCGCCCGUCGCACCUACCGAUUGAAUGGUCCGGUGAAGUCCUCGGACCCAGUUGAACCUCGAGUUGAACAGGGAAAGUUGACUAAAUCUUACCAUUUAGAGGAAGGUGAAGUCGUAACA